rnacentral:rRNA from 1 species
CUCAAUGAAAUUAAAUAGCCGCAAUAUUAUUGUGCUAAGGUAGCAUAAUCAUUUGUUUUUUAAUUAAAAACUAGAACGAAAGAUUUAACAUUUUCAUUUCUUUCUUAUUUAUAUAUAUUAAAUUUAUUUUAAAUAUUAAAAAAUAUUUAUAACUCAAAAAGACGAUAAGACCCUAUUGAACUUAACUAAAGUUUAACUGGGGUAGUUAAUUAAAUAUUAUUUUAAUUUUAAAUUAAAAUAAACCUAAUACAAUUAAUAUAAUCAAGUUACCAUAGGGAUAACAGCGUAAUAAUUUUCUUAAGAUCUUAUUUAAAAAUUUGUUUACGACCUCGAUGUUGAAUUAAUAAUCUUCUAAAUGCAAUAAUUUAAUAAUGAAAGUCUGUUCGACUU